CGCGAAGAACCUUACCUGGUCUUGACAUCCUCAGAACUUUCCAGAGAUGGAUUGGUGCCUUCGGGAACUGUGAGACAGGUGGUGCAUGGCUGUCGUCAGCUCGUGUUGUGAAAUGUUGGGUUAAGUCCCGCAACGAGCGCAACCCUUAUCCUUUGUUGCCAGCGGUCAGGCCGGGAAUUCAAAGGAGACUGCCAGUGAUAAACUGGAGGAAGGUGGGGAUGACGUCAAGUCAUCAUGGCCCUUACGACCAGGGCUACACACGUGCUACAAUGGCGCAUACAAAGAGAAGCGACCUCGCGAGAGCAAGCGGACCUCAUAAAGUGCGUCGUAGUCCGGAUUGGAGUUUGCAACUGGACUCCAUGAAGUCGGAAUCGCUAGUAAUCGUAGAUCAGAAUGCUACGGUGAAUACGUUCCCGGGCCUUGUACACACCGCCCGUCACACCAUGGGAGUGGGUUGCAAAAGAAGUAGGUAGGUUAACCUUCGGGAGGGCGCUUACCACUUUGUGAUUCAUGACUGGGGGAAGUCGAACAAGUGCUAGG
rnacentral:rRNA from 1 species